rnacentral:rRNA from 1 species
GUUGUAUGGUUAAGUGACUAAGCGUACACGGUGGAUGCCUUGGCAGUCAGAGGCGAUGAAAGACGUAGUAACUUGCGAUAAGCCCAGAUUAGGUAGUAACAACCAUUUGAGUCUGGGAUUUCUGAAUGGGGAAACCCACUUACAUAAGUAAGUAUCAUUAACUGAAUACAUAGGUUAAUGAGGCGAACCGGGGGAACUGAAACAUCUAAGUACCCCGAGGAAAAGAAAUCAACCGAGAUUCCGAAAGUAGCGGCGAGCGAAAUUGGACUAGCCCUUAAGCUUUACACGCGUUAGACGAACGGUCUGGAAAGUCCGACGAUACAGGGUGAUAGUCCCGUAGUUGACGACGUGUGUUCAGUGAAAUCGAGUAGGGCGGGACACGUGAUAUCCUGUCUGAAUAUGGGGGGACCAUCCUCCAAGGCUAAAUACUACUGACUGACCGAUAGUGAACCAGUACCGUGAGGGAAAGGCGAAAAGAACCCCUGUGAGGGGAGUGAAAUAGAACCUGAAACCGUGUACGUACAAGCAGUAGGAGCAGGCUUUGUCCUGUGACUGCGUACCUUUUGUAUAAUGGGUCAGCGACUUAUAUUCAGUGGCAAGGUUAACCAUCUAGGGGAGCCGUAGGGAAACCGAGUCUUAACUGGGCGUUCAGUCUCUGGAUAUAGACCCGAAACCAGGUGAUCUAGCCAUGGGCAGGUUGAAGGUUGAGUAACAUCAACUGGAGGACCGAACCGACUAAUGUUGAAAAAUUAGCGGAUGACUUGUGGCUAGGGGUGAAAGGCCAAUCAAACCUGGAGAUAGCUGGUUCUCCCCGAAAGCUAUUUAGGUAGCGCCUCGGACGAAUACUACUGGGGGUAGAGCACUGUUAAGGCUAGGGGGUCAUCCCGACUUACCAACCCUUUGCAAACUCCGAAUACCAGUAAGUACUAUCCGGGAGACACACGGCGGGUGCUAACGUCCGUCGUGGAGAGGGAAACAACCCAGACCGCCAGCUAAGGUCCCAAAUUACUACUAAGUGGGAAACGAUGUGGGAAGGCUCAGACAGCCAGGAUGUUGGCUUAGAAGCAGCCAUCAUUUAAAGAAAGCGUAAUAGCUCACUGGUCGAGUCGGCCUGCGCGGAAGAUGUAACGGGGCUAAGUAGUAAACCGAAGCUGCGGCAAUAUACUUUUGUAUAUUGGGUAGGGGAGCGUUCUGUAAGCGGUUGAAGGUGUGUGGUAACGCAUGCUGGACGUAUCAGAAGUGCGAAUGCUGACAUGAGUAACGAUAAAGGGGGUGAAAAACCUCCUCGCCGGAAGACCAAGGGUUCCUGUCCAACGUUAAUCGGGGCAGGGUAAGU